rnacentral:rRNA from 1 species
GAUUCCCCUAGUAACGGCGAGUGAAGCGGGAAGAGCUCAAAUUUGAAAUCUCGCUUAACAGCGCGAAUUGUAGUUUAAAGAAGUGUUUUCGGGGGCCGCCUAGGUAAAAGUCCCUUGGAACAGGGCAUCAUAGAGGGUGAGAAUCCCGUCUUUGACCUAGGGCCGGUUUCUAUGUGAUACACUUUCCAAGAGUCGGGUUGUUUGGGAAUGCAGCCCAAAAUGGGUGGUAAAUACCAUCUAAAGCUAAAUAUUGGCGAGAGACCGAUAGCGAACAAGUACCGUGAGGGAAAGAUGAAAAGAACUUUGAAAAGAGAGUUAAAUAGUACGUGAAAUUGUCAAAAGGGAAACGCUUGAAACCAGUGUUGCGGCCUAGAUCCCAACCGGUCUUACGACUGGCCCAUGUUCUAGGUUGUAGGUCAGCAUCGGUUUGGUUUGGAGUAUAAAGCUUGAGGAAGGUAGCCCCUCGGGGUAUUAUAGCCUCUCGUUCUGCUCUGGACUAGACCGAGGUUCGCAGUGCAGUCUUGGGGAACCUAGUGCUAGUUGUAGCGGAUUCUAGGACAACGUGUUGAUCUAGAGUGCGUCAAGGCUAAUCGUUAGGCGUACCACACCUGUGCUUAGGAUGCUGACAAAAUGGUUUUAAACGACCCGUCUUGAAACACGGACCAAGGAGUCUAACACAUAUGCGAGUAUUUGGGUGUCAAACCCGAAAUGCGUAAUGAAAGUGUUAAGGUGGGAUCAUUUGUGCACCAUCGACCGGUCUUGAAGUUUACGGAAAGAUCUGAGUAAGAGCAUAUUUGUUAGGACCCGAAAGAUGGUGAACUAUGCCUGAAUAGGGCGAAGCCAGAGGAAACUCUGGUGGAGGCUCGUAGCGAUUCUGACGUGCAAAUCGAUCGUCAAAUUUGGGUAUAGGGGCGAAAGACUAAUCGA